rnacentral:rRNA from 1 species
UACGGGGGGGGCAAGCGUUGUUCGGAAUUACUGGGCGUAAAGGGCUCGUAGGCGGCCAACUAAGUCAGACGUGAAAUCCCUCAGCUUAACUGGGGAACUGCGUCUGAUACUGGAUGGCUAGAGUGUGGGAGAGGGAUGCGGAAUUCCAGGUGUAGCGGUGAAAUGCGUAGAGAUCAGGAAGAACACCGGUGGCGAAAGCGUUCUGCUAGACCUUUACUGACACUGAGGGACGAAAGCUAGGGGAGCGAAUGGG